CUUUCCUGCUGAUUCUGAUUUGGGAUUUUAAAGAAACAGUGAAGAUUGGUACAAAGGAUUUAUGAAAGAGCCUCCAAGGAAGGGAAGGCAAUUUGGGGGUGAGUUGGGAAGAAGAUGAGAUAAAAGAAAUGAGGAAAGAGGCUCCCAUACCAAGGUAUAAAUGCAAACCGGAAUUUGCCCUUUACAAUCCAGGUUGCUAUUUUUGGUUAUUCACGUGAGGUUCAGAGGGGAACUGGAACAGAGAGGAAUAAAUCGCUCCUUGCCCCAGUGCAGGUCUGAACUUUAUGAGGAUGGAAUAGUAAGCACUCAAGGCUCGGCAGCCGAGAAGGACCAUCUUGUGUUUUGACAAUCUCCAGAGACCUAUAGAGAGGGAGAGGACAGAAUGCUGGGUUCCACAGGAGUAGUCAUUCCAGAAGGGAGACCCUGAAGCCUGGAUCCCUUGGCUUUGGAGCCUCUUGCCCUCCAUAGCUGCACUGGCUGGCCUAGGCCUGAGCGGAUGGAAGACAUCAAGUGAUCUUCCCAGACACUGCCACUGCCGGGGGACAGCAGAGAUGGAUGGCCCAGGUCCCCUCCUGCCUGGAGUGGUAUCUUUCAGUCCUGUUUCCUUGGGUGUUAUUUCUUCA